rnacentral:rRNA from 1 species
GUAGGGAAUAUUGCACAAUGGGCGAAAGCCUGAUGCAGCGACGCCGCGUGAGUGAUGAAGGUUUUCGGAUUGUAAAGCUCUGUUCUGGGGGACGAAAAAAAUGACGGUACCCCAGAAGAAAGGACCGGCUAACUUCGUGCCAGCAGCCGCGGUAAGACGAGGGGUCCUAGCGUUGCUCGGAAUUAUUGGGCGUAAAGCGGGUGUAGGCGGCUUUGUAAGUCAGGAGUGAAAGUCCUGGGCUCAACCCGGGAAGUGCUUUUGAUACUGCUUAGCUUGAGUGUGGGAGAGGAUAGUAGAAUUCCUGGUGUAGUGGUGAAAUACGUAGAUAUCAGGAGGAACACCGGUGGGGAAGCCGGCUAUCUGGCCCAACACUGACGCUCAGACCCGAAAGCAUGGGGAUCAAACAGGAUUAGAUACCCUGGUAGUCC